ensembl:lncRNA
CCCCCCUCCACCCUCCCUGUUUGGUUUAGGACGUCUGGAGCCGUCCCUUGCCGGGGGGGUCCUCUCCUCCCUGCUCCUGCCGGAUGGGGCCCGCCCUCCAGACCGUCCAGGGGAGGCACGCCCUCCGCUCCUGCCUGUGGGGGUCCUCCUCCACUCCUUCCCGAGGGGGGUUCCUCUUCAAGGCCUUCCAGAGGGGUCCCGUCUUCCAAACCUUUUGGAAGGGGCACGCCCUCUUCCUCCAGAGGGGACCAGCCCUCUACCUUGCCUUCCUGAGGGGUCCUGCCUUCCAGAGGGGGUUCGCCCUCUACCUCGCCUACCUCCAGAGGGGACCCGCCCUCUACCUUAAAGAAAAGCGCUGCUUUGCACUUUAUUUGCAAUUCUGCAACACACUUGCUCCUGCACACACCACACUAUUUCAUACAUAAGAAACUUAGUUCAAAAUGAAAUUUCAACGUACCAAUGGGUAAACACAUCUAUUCAAAAUACAAAACACAUUGGGUAAUUGAAAAUACUUGGAUACACACUUGGAAAAACAUGCUUACAAAACUGAACAGUAAUCAGCCAGCUACAAAAAAAGGCCAAAGGGCAAUUGUGCAGCUCGCGGGGCAGUGUGGGAGAAAUGUAUCAUUGUGUGUCGCCAUAAGCCUUCGAGGGUAACUUCACCAUCAUGCAAAAAUAGGUCCCUACAAUACCCAACAUAUCAUCACAUUUCUAGAUGCACUUCAUGAUGCAGCUGAACAGGACAGAUCAGAGCAGCCCAGGUUUGUUGUUGUCUGGGAUAAUGUUCGAUUCCAUCGGGCUGUUUUGGUCCGAAACUGGUCCACCAACCAUAAACAAUUUGAAGUCAUAUACUCGCCAUUUCCAAACCCUAUAGGAGGUUUUUUUUCGGCUUGAAGAUGGCGUGUAUAUGACCGCCAACCACAUGCCCGUAUGCCUCUUCAGCAGGCAAUGGAACAGGCCUAAGGAGACAUUGAGGUAAGGUCAAUCCAUGGAUGGAUUCUGCACACAAUUCGAGGAUCCAUAAGCCCGCCCACGCACAAUUAGCGUCUUUUUCUGUGUUUAUGCACAAUACAGUUGUGUAUUUUUGGUAAAUGUUUGUUAUAUUUGAGCUUAAACUGAAUUUAUUGAACUGUAAAGUACUGUAAAGUACUGUAUUGCAAUGUACAGUAUUCAGUAUUCGAUUUUUUGAUUGUUGUGAAAACGUGCCCUCUGUGGAACUGAAUAAAAACAGUGAAUAUGGAAGACUGCAGUGUUUUAUAUAACGUAGACCAGUGUGUUGCUGCUGAUCUGAAAGUGUAUUCAUAUGAUACAAGUGUGUAUCGUUUUGACAUCAGUGACAUUUUGACAAAGGAUUGUUAGGUUUCGAUAGAAUUUGACAUACAGGUGCUGGUCAUAUU